GUAAUACCGCAUGCGCUUCUUCUGGGGGGUCCGGGGGAAGGAAACCUUUCGAGGGCAGCUUGAGGGGCUCGCGGACUAUCAGCUAGUUGGGGGGGUAACGGCCCACCAAUGCGAACGACGGGUAGCUGGUCUGAGAGGAUGGACAGCCACAUUGGGACUGAGAGACGGGCCAGACUCCUACGGGAGGCAGCAGUGGGGAAUCUUGCGCAAUGGUCUAACGACUGACGCAGCGACGCCGCGUGUGGGAGGACGCCCUUUCGGGGUGUAAACCACUGUUGCCCGGGACGAACAGCGCUUUUCGAGGCGCCUGACGGUACCCGGGUGAGGAAGCACCGGCUAACUCCGUGCCAGCAGCCGCGGUAAUACGGAGGGUGCGAGCGUUGUCCGGAAUCAUUGGGCGUAAAGGGCGCGUAGGUGGCUUCUUAAGCGUGCGGUGAAAGCCUGGGGCUCAACCCCGGGUCGGCCGUGCGAACUGGGGGGCUGGAGCACUGUAGAGGCAGGCGGAAUUCCGGGAGUAGCGGUGGAAUGCGUAGAGAUCCGGAAGAACACCGGUGGCGAAGGCGGCCUGCUGGGCAGUUUUGCUGACACUGAAGCGCGACAGCGUGGGGAGCAAACA
rnacentral:rRNA from 1 species